UGUGGUUUAAUUCGAAGCAACGCGCAGAACCUUACCAACCCUUGACAUCCUGGUCGCGGAUACCCGAGAGGGUUUCCGUCAGUUCGGCUGGACCAGUGACAGGUGCUGCAUGGCUGUCGUCAGCUCGUGUCGUGAGAUGUUCGGUUAAGUCCGCUAUAUUGUUUUCUACCCACACCCUUAGUUACCAGCGGUUCGGCCGGGGACUCUAGGGGAACUGCCCGUGAUAAGCGGGGGGAAGGUGUGGAUGACGUCAAGUCCUCAUGGCCCUUACGGGUUGGGCUACACACGUGCUACAAUGGCAGUGACAAUGGGGUAAUCCCAAAAAACUGUCUCAGUUCGGAUUGUCGUCUGCAACUCGACGGCAUGAAGUCGGAAUCGCUAGUAAUCGCGUAACAGCAUGACGCGGUGAAUACGUUCCCGGGCCUUGUACACACCGCCCGUCACACCAUGGGAGUCGGGUCUACCCGAAGACGGUGCGCCAACCUUCAGGGAGGCAGCUGGCCACGGUAGGCUCAGCGA
rnacentral:rRNA from 1 species